UCUGGGUUAUGGCAUAAGGACAGAGAACCAUCACCUCAGA
rfam:Heterocephalus glaber contig127759, whole genome shotgun sequence.